rnacentral:tRNA from 1 species
CUGCUUGUAGCAUAUGUUAAAGUGCAGUGAGUUUUUAAUUCACUGGAGGUUUCAACCCGAGUAGA